CAUUUCUCUCCUCCGGUUCUGGGAGAGGAAAUUCUGCAAACCAAAUGUGAACUCAGGAAAGGGAGGUCCUAGCAAACUUGCUGUGCCAAAGGCAAACACAAAAGGCUCACCUCUGCAGUUGUGCCCGACUGAGCAGUGCCAGCAAAUAGGGGAGUGCGGUGCCAGACUCAUACAGAGUGGUACGGGGUCAAGGCAAGGCUUUUUGCUGGGAACAGGGUGUGUGCGGGCUGAAAAGCACUGAGGAGGAACUGAGGCCAUGGCUGAUCCUGGGGGGUGCGCAGAUCAGCUCUGCAGGCGAGGUUAGUGCCUUUGCUCCUCUGUCAUCACCAGUCCCUGAGAGCAAUCACCACCCACCAACAGUUCCUCAAGAUAAGACUGAGCCAGCUGGGAGAAGAAAUCCUUUGAUAUUUCCCUGCCUCGCUGACUGCGUUUUUCACAGCUCACAUCUCAGAGAGGACCAGCAGAGAUGACUGGGCACGUAAGAAUAACACUGGGCUGGUAUGCAAGGAAGGUGCUAAUCUUCUGCCAUGUGUGUAGGGCCUGGGCAGAAUGAGGCAGAGCGCAGUGCUGGAGUCUCCCUGAUCCUCCCAUGGAUAUCAGCAGCUGCCACACCUGGAGUCUGCAGCAAAGCUCCUUCCUCCAGAGGCCAAGAGCUGAGCCUACUGUUUCCAGCAAGAGAGAAGCCUGCGCUUGCUGGGGGACUUGCUGGUGGGGCAGUGCUGUGUGGAAGGGCUGUGCUCACACCAUGAGAUGAGGCCAUCUAACAGACGAAGCAUGCAGGAUUUGCACUGACCGACGCCUGCACGGCUUCAGAGCUGUUUAUGGAUGUAAGGCUUGUCGUGGCUCUUCUCCCAGACACCUCGCUGCUGUCACAGCUCAGCGUUUGCCAUAUGUUUCAGCCCAGUGCUCGAAGCCUAAUAAAAAUGUCUAGCUGUAAAUCACCAGAGGUGUAGGCUGUGACCCUCUUUACUCCUACCUCUUCCACCACCUCUCAGCCACCCUUUUCCAGAUACUGGAAGCAGUAUAGCAAGAGUGCUUCUCCCAUCGGCCUCCUGCCAGAGCAGUGAUGCCAGAACACAGCUGUUUGCAAGUGCAUGGGGAAAGCUGUGCUGGGCUGAAAUGCAAAAUGAGGCCAAUGUGUCCCCACGGUCGCUUCUUCAGGAUACUUCUUUGUCCCACAUGGAGACAGAAGCUCCUGCUUAAGUAACCCUGGGGACUUGGAUCAGACAUCAUUAAAAGCAGUGGGGCAGCCAGCCCAUGGGGAGGAGUGGCAAAUGCGGUGCGAAUGAUCAUGUCCUGCAUGGGACAGACCAGCACUUGACGUUGAAAUGCAUACACCUCGAUGCAAUAAGCCCUGAAGCCCACCCCAGCAGCAGUCUCUGCUGCCAGGAGGCAAAACUGCUGAAGAUGGCUCUCCUCACACGGAGCCGGGAUCAUCCACCCCAUUCAUACACUGUUCUCAACAACGUGCAAAGAGUAAAGCACCAUCCUAUUUCACCAUCACACAGAGCCGAGGCAAGCCUCUCUGCAGCCUCACCUGCUGCUGUAGCUUUCCUCUGCUUGAGGCACAGUCCACCCAGAAACCAGGGGAGCUUGUGCAACUCCUCUGACAUGUCCCGCAAGCAGCUUUCAGACGACUUUAUUAAGAAGAAAAUCAUGACCACAACUCAUGGUUACAAAGGAAAAUAUUACUGCCCUCCUGAGGCAGACAGGGAGAGUUAAAUGGCACCUGGGGCCUAAUGACUACAUGCUGAAGCUAUAAAAGACUGCAGAAGGAGCAUGAGCCUCUGGAAGAAAGACUUGGAAGUGGUUUCUGAUGUAGUUUACACAGCUGGACAACAGGAAAGGAGGUGUGACUGUGCUGCUAAAUGUAAGUGGGGAAAGGGCUGGGGUAUUGUGUCAGUUGUAGAUGUUAGUUCUCAGGAAUCAAAAACUCUUCUGAUUACCUACAAAAGCCUCUCCCAUCACUAAUGCCCAAGGGAAGAAAAAGCCCCAGCAGCUUCUCUGUGCCCUUCUGUGGUCUCUUUGUAGUGGAGUGCUGGGCUGAACCCAGAGCUGAUGCCACAUAUCUGUAGGGUGUUUGACCAGGCUUCUCUUUGUAAGUAAAAGGAGAAGAGUUAUGAGAUGUUUGAUGAGUGGGACAAUAAGGCAGACUUUAACGUCUUAUUUGUGAGCAAAUUAUGUGCAUGCUGCUGCAGGAGACCUGCAGAGGUGAUACGGCUAGUGCCUGAUGCUGAUGGUUAUUAGACAGGGGCAUCCUAGUCACCUGCAGAGUCACUAAACUUGGCAUAUGAGCUUGGUAGUAGUGGCAACAAUCUGUCUGGUUGCAAGGGUACCUGAAGAAGGGGGCACUAGCACUGGGUCCCUGAGCAGCAUGUGGUGAGAUUGGUGUUUCAACACUCCUCUCUGAUGAGUGAGGGCGGAGGCACAGAAAGGCUCGUACAACUGUGGGCACCCACCUCUAUACUUGAAUUAGUGCACUCUGUCCACUGUGGAUGCUGGAGGACUUUCUCAUUAGUGUUCACUGAUAUAACACUUCUGAAAAAAUGUACAGCUGCUCCACAGAGGUUGUUCUUUUUCCUUUGCUGCUCUUGUGCUCAGGUUGCAUUAAUAUUUUGCAGCCUCAACAUGCACAAGAUCUUUUCCUCUGUAUUAAGGCCACAAUUCACACUGGGGGUUCUGGUAUUUCUGUGCAUUUACCUCUCAGUUAUUAUGUUAGCAGAAGAUGUCAUGUGAAUUCCUGCUCUGUAAUGGACACCUCUAUCUACUAGUUCAUGUAUUUCUAAUUUGGAAAGGUUUACAGUAGUUUGCUUAAGCCUGAAGGGAUCCCUGUCCCAGCUCUUCAUGAGCGGGCAGAACUGGGAGAGAAGAGAAAAACGGUAUGUGCCUGAAUUCUCAACUGGAAAGUGCUGUCUUCUAGCUUCGCUCCAUAGCCUAAGUGACUUAAACACCCUCUGCUAUUAUUGCAUUAAGUAUUAACCCAACAGUCAGGCUCAGCAGCCUCAAUGAGCUAUAGUCCUGCUGGAGAUAACAAGAUUCAGCUUCUGGAGGCAUCUGAUGCCUAAAUAAGCACAGGGGACAUGGCACUGCACUGGGGACAUCAGGAUGGGGCCAAGCUCUGUUUUGUGUAAAUCUCUAGCUCUGAGAAAGCUGUCAGUGCAGACACUCUGUCUGCUUCUGGUUUGGUUACCCAUCUUACAGCCUGAGUAUCUGCAGAACAUCUCGGAGUUUCACCCGUACUGCAAGGACUUGAACCUGUCUGCCAAAAAGAGCUUGCAGCAGCCACGCACAUUAAUUUUACAAGUUGGGUGUUUGCCUCUGACAAGCAACUCUUCAUAUCUUUAUGGCUAGACAUUAUUAUAUUGUUCUUUCAUUUGAUAACUGCUCCAGUAAUAGCUUCCAUUUGCAGUAAAUCUCUUGUACUGCCUUUUUUUUCCUCCCCAUUAAACAUAAGACAAUAACCUUUCCGGGAAGCUGUGUGGAGACACUCAGUGAAGCUUUAAGAGGUGAGGGUAGACAUGGGGGGCAUGGUCAGCAGUAGGAAAGUACCUGGUGGAAAAAUGCUUCUGGAGAAAUUGCAAUUAAAUCCUGAAGCACGUGAGGAAAACCUCCCGAGUGUACAAGCUGAAACUGGAAAACGAAAAUUAAAUGCCUGUUCAAGUCAGUAAGUCUUUGUAAAGUGCUGCUCAAUACCUGGAAAAUCUCUGAGACAAAGAACAGACAAGUCUGGAUGUGAC
ensembl:lncRNA